GUGACCCCAGGUCAGGCGGGAUUACC
rnacentral:rRNA from 1 species